rnacentral:rRNA from 1 species
UACAGAGGGUGCGAGCGUUGUCCGGAAUCACUGGGCGUAAAGGGCGCGUAGGUGGCGACCCAAGUCGAUGGUGAAAGCUCGUCGCUCAACGACGAGUCGGCCACCGAUACUGGGUUGCUCGAGCACUGUAGAGGCAGAUGGAAUUCCGGGUGUAGCGGUGGAAUGCGUAGAGAUCGGCAGGAAGACCAAGGGGGAAGCCAGUCACCUGGGCCCGCGCUGACACUCAUGGACGACCGCGUGGGGAGCGAACCGG